CGGGGUAGAGUAACACGUAGGUAACCUGCCCUUUAGAGGGGGAGUAACUGGGGGAAACCUCAGCUAAGACCGCAUAAAGAGGACCAGGCAUCUGGUCAAGAUGAAAUGCCCUGCAAGGGGCAGCUAAAGGAUGGGCCUGCGGCGCAUUAGCUAGUUGGUGAGGUAAGGGCUUACCAAGGUAAUGAUGCGUAGCCGACCUGAGAGGGUGAACGGCCACACUGGAACUGAGACACGGUCCAGACUCCUACGGAAGGCAGCAG
rnacentral:rRNA from 1 species